rnacentral:rRNA from 2 species
UCGAGCGCCCCGCAAGGGGAGUGGCAGACGGGUGAGUUGGCGUGGGAACGUACCAUUUGGUACGGAAUAGCUCAGGGAAACUUGUGCUAAUACCGAAUGUGCCCGAAAGGGGAAAGAUUUAUCGGCAAAGGAUCGGCCCGCGUUGGAUUAUCUAGUUGGGGGAGUAAAGGGCUACCAAGGCGACUAUCCAUAGCUGGUCGGAGAGGAUGAUCAGCCACACUGGUACUGACACACGGCCCAGACUCCUACGGGAGGCAGCAGUGGGGAAUAUUGGACAAUGGGCGCAAGCCUGAUCCAGCCAUGCCGCGUGGGUGAUGAAGGCCCUAGGGUUGUAAAGCUCUUUCACCGGUGAAGAUAAUGACGGUAACCGGAGAAGAAGCCCCGGCUAACUUCGUGCCAGCAGCCGCGGUAAUACGAAGGGGGCUAGCGUUGUUCGGAUUUACUGGGCGUAAAGCGCACGUAGGCGGGCUAAUACGUCAGGGGUGAAAUCCCGGGGCUCAACCCCGGAACUGCCUUUGAUACUGUUAGUCUUGAGUAUGGUAGAGGUGAGUGGAAUUCCCAGUGUACAGGUGAAAUUCGUAUGAUAUUCGGAGGAACACCUCUGGCGAAGGCGGAUCACUGGACCAUUACUGACGCUGAGUGCGAAAGCGUGGGGAGCAAACAGGAUUAGAUACACCUGGUAGUCCACGCCGUAUACNAUGAAUGUUAGCCGCUGGGCGAGUUACUC